rnacentral:rRNA from 1 species
UACGGAGGGUGCAAGCGUUAUCCGGAUUCACUGGGUUUAAAGGGUGCGUAGGUGGGCUAGUAAGUCCGUGGUGAAAUCUCCAAGCUUAACUUGGAAACUGCCGUGGAUACUAUUAGUCUUGAAUCUCGUGGAGGUAAGCGGAAUAUGUCAUGUAGCGGUGAAAUGCUUAGAUAUGACAUAGAACACCGAUAGCGAAGGCAGCUUGCUACACGAGUAUUUGACACUGAGGCACGAAAAGCGUGGGGGAUCAAAACAGG